CCUACGGGGGGCAGCAGUGGGGAAUAUUGGACAAUGGGCGAAAGCCUGAUCCAGCCAUGCCGCGUGUGUGAAGAAGGCCUUCGGGUUGUAAAGCACUUUCAGUGGGGAAGAAAGCCUUGGGGCUAAUACCCUCGAGGAAGGACAUCACCCACAGAAGAAGCACCGGCUAACUCCGUGCCAGCAGCCGCGGUAAUACGGAGGGUGCGAGCGUUAAUCGGAAUUACUGGGCGUAAAGCGCGCGUAGGCGGUCUGAUAAGCCGGUUGUGAAAGCCCCGGGCUCAACCUGGGAACGGCAUCCGGAACUGUCAGGCUAGAGUGCAGCAGAGGAAGGUAGAAUUCCCGGUGUAGCGGUGAAAUGCGUAGAGAUCGGGAGGAAUACCAGUGGCGAAGGCGGCCUUCUGGACUGACACUGACGCUGAGGUGCGAAAGCGUGGGUAGCAAACAGGAUUAGAUACCCGAGUAGUC
rnacentral:rRNA from 1 species